GACAGAGGCCUCAAGCGUUAGGCGGAAUCACUGGGCUUAAAGCGUGUGUAGGCGGAUCGUUAAGUGUCUUGUGAAAUCCCACGGCUCAACCGUGGAACUGCUGGGCAUACUGCGGGUCUUGGGCCAACUAGGGGCAGCCGGAACAAGCGGUGGAGCGGUGAAAUGCGUAGAUAUCGCUUGGAACGCCGAAGGUGAAAACAGGCUGCUGGGGUUGCGCCGACGCUGAGACACGAAAGCCAGGGGAGCAAACGGG
rnacentral:rRNA from 1 species